rnacentral:rRNA from 1 species
UACGGAGAGUGCGAGCGUUGUUCGGAUUCACUGGGCGUAAAGGGUGCGUAGGUGGCUUGAAAAGUUUGAUGUGAAAGCUCAGGGCUUAACCCUGAAAUGGCAUUGAAUACUGUCGAGCUGGAGGUUUGGAGGGGGGACUGGAAUUCUUGGUGUAGCAGUGAAAUGCGUAGAUAUCAAGAGGAACACCAGUGGCGAAGGCGAGUCCCUGGACAACACCUGACACUGAGGCACGAAAGCUAGGGGAGCAAACAGG